GCGGACGUGGUGUACGGUGCACUGCUGCAUCGAAUGAAUGGUGUGGGGAGAAAAGUUGAAGUAGUAAGACGGGGUUCGACUCCCCGCGUCCGCC